rnacentral:rRNA from 1 species
UCAGACUGCGAGUGAUAAGAUCCGUAGUCAAGAGGGAAACAGCCCAGACCGCCAGCUAAGGUCCCAAAGUGUAUGUUAAGUGGAAAAGGAUGUGGCGCUGCCUAGACAGCUAGGAUGUUGGCUUAGAAGCAGCCACCAUUCAAAGAGUGCGUAAUAGCUCACUAGUCGAGUGGCGCCGCGCCGAAAAUGUAACGGGGCUAAACAUACCACCGAAGCUGCGGAUUCCGUAAGGAAUGGUAGGGGAGCGUUCCAAACCGCUGUGAAGCUGUACCGGAAGGAGCAGUGGAGCGUUUGGAAGUGAGAAUGCCGGUGUGAGUAGCGAAAAGAGGGGUGAGAAUCCCCUCCGUCGAAAGCCCAAGGUUUCCUGAGGAAGGCUCGUCCGCUCAGGGUUAGUCUGGACCUAAGCCGAGGCCGAAAGGCGUAGGCGAUGGAUAACAGGUUGAUAUUCCUGUACCGCCGAUCCACCGUUUGAACAAUGGGGGGACGCAGGAGGAUAGUGACGCAUGCGGAUGGAAGUGCAUGUGCAAGUUUCAAGACCGUCUGAUUGGCAAAUCCGUCAGGCAUCAAAGUCAAGGAACGAUGCGGAGUCCCGUAGGGACGUAGGUCACGAUUUCACACUGCCAAGAAAAGCCUCUAGUGAGGGGGAAGGCGCCAGUACCGUAAACCGACACAGGUAGGCGAGAUGAGAAUUCUAAGACGCGCGGGAUAACUCUCGUUAAGGAACUCGGCAAAAUGGUCCCGUAACUUCGGGAGAAGGGACGCUCUACACAUGUAGAGCCGCAGUGAAUAGGCCCAAACGACUGUUUAGCAAAAACACAGGUCUCUGCUAAAUCGCAAGAUGACGUAUAGGGGCUGACGCCUGCCCGGUGCUGGAAGGUUAAGGGGAUGGGUUAGCGCAAGCGAAGCUUUGAACCGAAGCCCCAGUAAACGGCGGCCGUAACUAUAACGGUCCUAAGGUAGCGAAAUUCCUUGUCGGGUAAGUUCCGACCCGCACGAAAGGCGUAACGAUUUGGGCACUGUCUCAACGAGAGACCCGGUGAAAUCAUAGUACCUGUGAAGAUGCAGGUUACCCGCGACAGGACGGAAAGACCCCAUGGAGCUUUACUACAGCCUGAUAUUGAGGCUUUGUGCAUGAUGUACAGGAUAGGCGGGAGACGUCGAGCCCGGAGCGCCAGCUUCGGAGGAGUCACCCUUGGGAUACCGCCCUUCAUGCAUAGAGUCUCUAACUCGCAGCCGUAAUCCGGCUGGAGGACCGUGUCAGGCGGGUAGUUUGACUGGGGCGGUCGCCUCCUAAACAGUAACGGAGGCGCCCAAAGGUUCCCUCAGAAUGGUUGGAAAUCAUUCGUAGAGCGCAAAGGCAGAAGGGAGCUUGACUGCGAGACCUACAAGUCGAGCAGGGACGAAAGUCGGGCUUAGUGAUCCGGUGGUUCCGCAUGGAAGGGCCAUCGCUCAACGGAUAAAAGCUACCCUGGGGAUAACAGGCUGAUCUCCCCCAAGAGUCCACAUCGACGGGGAGGUUUGGCACCUCGAUGUCGGCUCAUCGCAUCCUGGGGCUGGAGUAGGUCCCAAGGGUUGGGCUGUUCGCCCAUUAAAGCGGUACGCGAGCUGGGUUCAGAACGUCGUGAGACAGUUCGGUCCCUAUCCGUCGUGGGCGCAGGAAAUUUGAGGAGAGCUGUCCUUAGUACGAGAGGACCGGGAUGGACGCACCGCUGGUGUACCAGUUGUUCCGCCAGGAGCAUCGCUGGGUAGCUACGUGCGGACGGGAUAAAUGCUGAAAGCAUCUAAGCAUGAAGCCCCCUCCAAGAUGAGAUUUCCCUUUGA